UGAUGACGUCGUGGUCACAUGACCGAGAUUUCGAGCCUACCACGUGAUCUCUCUGUGGAGAGGAGGAAAGAAGAAAAAAAAAAGGCGGGAAGCGAGCGGGAAAGUUCAAAUGAAGGAGAAGUCUGCGCGUCGUCUGCUUGUAUUCUUACCAUGAGAAGCCUCCUUUUUGCUUUCAAAACCGACCAGCAAGCUGUUGCCAAGGCCUGGGAAGAAUAAAUAAUGGGCUUCAAAAACUGCAUCAAAAUGCAGCACAGGUUGAGAUGAAAUGAGAGCUGUACAAAAGCUGCAUUUUCAGCUUUUAUUCAUCACGAUGUGGGAGAGAAAAUACAUCCUGAGAUUGGGGAAACCACAUGGAGUCUCUACUUAGUCAGAAAACAUAGGCUGAGCACAGGAAUUUCUACGAAUGUUUGUAACAAAAAUAUUUUUCAAGAAGUGCUCCAUAUAAAACCUCAGUCUUACAAGCAUUCUGCAGAUAGUUUAGCUACGAAAGGACAUAUCGGCUUAGAUACCUUGAAGGCCUGACGGACGCAGUGAAGUUUUGCCAGAAAGUCCUGGUCGUUGUAGCAUCCCAAGAGCUCAGUCCUGAAAGUAUAAAAAGCCUGAC